GACGAACGCUGGCGGCGUGCCUAAUACAUGCAAGUCGAACGCAGUGGGGACGGGUGAGGAACACGUGGGUAACCUCCCAUCAGAGGGGAUAACACUUGGAAACAGGUGCUAAACCGAUACUGCUGGAUGGACCCGCGGUGCAUUAGCUAGUUGGUGAGGUAACGGCUCACCAGGGCCACGAUGCAUAGCCAACCUGAGUGGGUGAUCGCGCAGACUGGGACUGCACCACGGCCCAGACUACUACGGGAGGCAGCAGUAGGGAAUCAUCGGAAAUUGACGAAGGUCUAACCGAGCAACGCCGCGUAAGUUAAGAAGGUUUUCGGAUCGUAAAACUCUUUUGUUAGAGAAGCGGGAUCUAACCAGAAAGCCACGGCUAACUACGUGCCAGCAGCCGCGGGAAUAC
rnacentral:rRNA from 1 species